rnacentral:rRNA from 1 species
UACGUAGGGGGCAAGCGUUAUCCGGAUUUACUGGGUGUAAAGGGAGCGUAGACGGCAUGGCAAGUCUGAUGUGAAAACCCGGGGCUCAACCCCGGGACUGCAUUGGAAACUGUCAGGCUAGAGUGUCGGAGAGGCAAGUGGAAUUCCUAGUGUAGCGGUGAAAUGCGUAGAUAUUAGGAGGAACACCAGUGGCGAAGGCGGCCACCUGGACCGGUAUUGACGCUGAGGCGCGAAAGCGUGGGGAGCAAACAGG